CGGCGAUGUCCGAAUGGGGAAACCCAGUGCAAUUCGUUGCACUAUCGUUAACUGAAUACAUAGGUUAACGAGGCGAACCGGGGGAACUGAAACAUCUAAGUACCCCGAGGAAAAGAAAUCAACCGAGAUUCCCCCAGUAGCGGCGAGCGAACGGGGAGCAGCCCAGAGUCUGAAUCAGCUUGUGUGUUAGUGGAACGGUCUGGAAAGUCCGACGGUACAGGGUGAUAGUCCCGUACACCAAAAUGCACAGGUUGUGAACUCGAAGAGUAGGGCGGGACACGUGGUAUCCUGUCUGAAUAUGGGGGGACCAUCCUCCAAGGCUAAAUACUCCUGACUGACCGAUAGUGAACCAGUACCGUGAGGGAAAGGCGAAAAGAACCCCGGCGAGGGGAGUGAAAAAGAACCUGAAACCGUGUACGUACAAGCAGUGGGAGCACCUUCGGGUGUGACUGCGUACCUUUUGUAUAAUGGGUCAGCGACUUAUAUUCUGUAGCAAGGUUAACCGUAUAGGGGAGCCGCAGGGAAACCGAGUCUUAACUGGGCGUUAAGUUGCAGGGUAUAGACCCGAAACCCGGUGAUCUAGCCAUGGGCAGGUUGAAGGUUGGGUAACACUAACUGGAGGACCGAACCGACUAAUGUUGAAAAAUUAGCGGAUGACUUGUGGCUGGGGGUGAAAGGCCAAUCAAACCGGGAGAUAGCUGGUUCUCCCCGAAAGCUAUUUAGGUAGCGCCUCGUGAAUUCAUCUUCGGGGGUAGAGCACUGUUUCGGCUAGGGGGUCAUCCCGACUUACCAACCCGAUGCAAACUACGAAUACCGAAGAAUGUUAUCACGGGAGACACACGGCGGGUGCUAACGUCCGUCGUGAAGAGGGAAACAACCCAGACCGCCAGCUAAGGUCCCAAAGUCAUGGUUAAGUGGGAAACGAUGUGGGAAGGCACAGACAGCCAGGAUGUUGGCUUAGAAGCAGCCAUCAUUUAAAGAAAGCGUAAUAGCUCACUGGUCGAGUCGGCCUGCGCGGAAGAUGUAACGGGGCUAAACCAUGCACCGAAGCUGCGGCAGCGACACUAUGUGUUGUUGGGUAGGGGAGCGUUCUGUAAGCCUGCGAAGGUGACCUGUGAGGGUUGCUGGAGGUAUCAGAAGUGCGAAUGCUGACAUAAGUAACGAUAAAGCGGGUGAAAAGCCCGCUCGCCGGAAGACCAAGGGUUCCUGUCCAACGUUAAUCGGGGCAGGGUGAGUCGACCCCUAAGGCGAGGCCGAAAGGCGUAGUCGAUGGGAAACAGGUUAAUAUUCCUGUACUUGGUGUUACUGCGAAGGGGGGACGGAGAAGGCUAUGUUAGCCGGGCGACGGUUGUCCCGGUUUAAGCAUGUAGGCUGAUUGUCCAGGCAAAUCCGGAUAAUCAAGGCUGAGGUGUGAUGACGAGGCACUACGGUGCUGAAGUAACAAAUGCCCUGCUUCCAGGAAAAGCCUCUAAGCAUCAGGUAACAUCAAAUCGUACCCCAAACCGACACAGGUGGUCAGGUAGAGAAUACCAAGGCGCUUGAGAGAACUCGGGUGAAGGAACUAGGCAAAAUGGUGCCGUAACUUCGGGAGAAGGCACGCUGGUGUGUAGGUGAAGUCCCUGCGGAUGGAGCUGAGACCAGUCGAAGAUACCAGCUGGCUGCAACUGUUUAUUAAAAACACAGCACUGUGCAAACACGAAAGUGGACGUAUACGGUGUGACGCCUGCCCGGUGCCGGAAGGUUAAUUGAUGGGGUUAUCCGUAAGGAGAAGCUCUUGAUCGAAGCCCCGGUAAACGGCGGCCGUAACUAUAACGGUCCUAAGGUAGCGAAAUUCCUUGUCGGGUAAGUUCCGACCUGCACGAAUGGCGUAAUGAUGGCCAGGCUGUCUCCACCCGAGACUCAGUGAAAUUGAACUCGCUGUGAAGAUGCAGUGUACCCGCGGCAAGACGGAAAGACCCCGUGAACCUUUACUAUAGCUUGACACUGAACAUUGAGCCUUGAUGUGUAGGAUAGGUGGGAGGCUUUGAAGCGUGGACGCCAGUCUGCGUGGAGCCAACCUUGAAAUACCACCCUUUAAUGUUUGAUGUUCUAACGUUGGCCCCU
rnacentral:rRNA from 1 species